CAACAGCGUAUAUUAAAGUUGUUGCAGUUAAAACGCUCGUAGUCGGAUUUCGGGGCGGGCGGGCCGGUCUGCCGAUGGGUAUGCACUGGUCUGGCCGUCCUUCCCUCCGGAGACCGUGCGUGCUCUUAACUGAGUGCGCUCGGGAGACGGAUCGUUUACUUUGAAAAAAUCAGAGUGUUUCAAGCAGGCAGCUCGCUCUUGCAUGGAUUAGCAUGGGAUAAUGAAAUAGGACUUUGGUGCUAUUUUGUUGGUUUCGAACACCGAAGUAAUGAUUAACAGGGACAGUCAGGGGCACUCGUAUUCCGCCGAGAGAGGUGAAAUUCUCAGACCAGCGGAAGACGAACCACUGCGAAAGCAUUUGCCAGGGAUGUUUUCACUGA
rnacentral:rRNA from 1 species